CUUCUUCUUCCUCGCAAUGUUGUUGUUCUUUGCUCUCUCUUUCCAUGUGCUCUCUCUCUGCCCUCUCGCUCACUCGCCUUCUCGCAGACUCCCCUCUCUCUGUCAUGUUCAACUUCCGAAACUACCAAAGGAAGGUUUGCUCAUCUCCCUGAUUUAUACGAGUAACAUGUGAAAAUCUUGGGUUUUGAUCAAGGAAAUUUGUGAAAUUUGUAGGAGAUUUAUGAAAUAUUAGAAAUUUAUAGGAAAUUUUUUAAAUUUGUUAAAUUUGAGAAAGUUGUAGGAAAUAUUCGAAAUUUGUAGAGAAUAUUAAAUAUUUGUAAUUUUACAGGAAAUGUGUGAAAAUUGUAGGAAAUUUCUUAAGUUUGUGAAAUUUGUAAGAAACAUUAGAAAUUUGUAAUUUUGUAAGAAAUAUUACAAUUUUGUAAUUUUUAUAUGAAAUUUAUGAAAUAAUGUCAUUUAACAAUGUGAUUUUGUAUGAAUUUUGAAAUAAUGUAAUUUUGUAAAUUAGUGUUAGCUUUAUUGUGAUUUUAUUCAACGGAUGUCAUCGCGAUUGAUCAUACUGGUCGGCGCUUUGCCUCCAGUUGGGGUUAUAAUGACUCGGAGGCAGAGAUGGCUGAUAUUCCACCGGCGGGAACCAGCAAUACCCAGGUGCCCACGACCGAGUCAGCGGUCAAGUUCACUCCAUUAGCUUUAUCGGUCUGGGAACCCCGAUCUGGCAGGCGUAUUCACCAGUCGGAAACAGCCCGGAGCUGUGCCAACCCAGCACCCGUUGGUGAUGUGGUGGAGGCUGAUGCCAAUUCGGCGACCAUGCCCCCGACAGAGACGGAGAACUCUCAGCUGAGGUGGGAAGAAAAUGAAUAUGCAGGGGAUCUGUAGAGGCUUGUCCUCAAACCAGAUUAUCGCAUAACGCAUGCCAAGAUCGUGGGUAGUUUACCACCCAUGACAUCAGCGAACGGACCUGAAAGCCAAUAGUCUAUUGACGCAAAAUAGGGAAGCCAUCAUCCGCACCAGGUGUCUCAUGCUUGCCCCUAUAUGGAGGAAGCUCGCCCCUGAGGUGCAUGAGGCGAUGAAGAAAGAGAUCAACUUAGAGAUAGACGAGGAAGUGCCGGAUAUGUCCUAGUACAUAAACUGAGUGUGGUCUGAGCAGUACAAGGAGUGGAAGUAUGAGCUGCACCUGUACUACCAGACUUGCGCAUCUCCAGUGGAAGCUCGACCGAUCCACCCUAGAGUCUGCGAAAAGGAUAGACGAGUGGCACUGGCCUUACAGCCAUUUUUAGGGCCCGAAAUUUCUACGAAAAGAGAGGGCAAAUAAGGGUAACCAGGAAGUGAAGCAGUAUCUCCAUUGUUCUCUGCCCCUCACUUUCCACAUCGAGGAACGGUGUGAGAAGGGUUUGCUUUUCCAAGAAGCCAAGACCUGAGGGGAUGCACGUGCCAAUUAUGGCACUUAGGUGGCUGAAGACAUUUAUUUGACACCUGAUCCAUAUGUGUAUCUACAGUUGCUGGUAGACGGGCUUGGGCAACGAAAAGGCCGAGAGUUUCGCAUCUUAGAAGCAGGUCGAGUUCGGGAGCUCUGGAAAUAUUUUUCAUCUACCUCUCAACCUCCAAGCGGGACGUCUUGUAGACUCCAGCAAGUAGAGAUGAAGUUAGAGGCCAUGCACCAGCUAGAAGAAGAAGUGCACCAGCGAGAAGAAGCUCGGGAAGAAGUGCGCCAGCUAGAGGAGGAGUUUCAACAGU